rnacentral:rRNA from 1 species
CCUACGGGUGGCUGCAGUGGGGAAUAUUGGGCAAUGGGCGCAAGCCUGACCCAGCAACGCCGCGUGAAGGAAGAAGGCUUUCGGGUUGUAAACUUCUUUUGUCAGGGACGAAGCAAGUGACGGUACCGGACGAAUAAGCAACGGCUAACUACGGGCCAGCAGCCGCGGGAAUACGUAGGGGGCAAGCGUUAUCCGGAUUUACUGGGUGUAAAGGGGGGGGAGGCGGGACUGGAAGUCAGGUGGGAAAACCCCGGGCUCAACCUGUGGCCUGCAUUUGAAACGGUAGUUCUUGAGUACUGGAGAGGCAGCCGGAAUUCCUCGUGUCGCGGUGAAAUGCGUAGAUAUUAGGAGGAACCCCAGUGGCGAAGGCGGUCUGCUGGACAGCAACUGACGCUGAGGCGCGAAAGCGUGGGGAGCAAACAGGAUUAGAUACCCGAGUAGUC